UACGGAGGAUCCAAGCGUUAUCCGGAUUUAUUGGGUUUAAAGGGUGCGUAGGCGGAUUGAUAAGUUAGAGGUGAAAUGUCCGAGCUCAACUCGGGAACUGCCUCUAAUACUGUUGAUCCAGAGAGUAGAUGCGGUAGGCGGAAUGUAUGGUGUAGCGGUGAAAUACUUAGAGAUCAUACAGAACACCGAUUGCGAAGGCAGCUUACCAAUCUAUAUCUGACGUUGAGGCACGAAAGCGUGGGGAGCAAACAGG
rnacentral:rRNA from 1 species